rnacentral:rRNA from 1 species
AAUCGAGUAGGACGGAGCACGAGAAACUUUGUCUGAACAUGGGGGGACCAUCCUCCAAGGCUAAAUACUACUGACUGACCGAUAGUGAACCAGUACCGUGAGGGAAAGGCGAAAAGAACCCAGGAGAGGGGAGUGAAAUAGAACCUGAAACCGUAUGCGUACAAGCAGUGGGAGCCUACUUGUUAGGUGACUGCGUACCUUUUGUAUAAUGGGUCAGCGACUUAUAUUCAGUGGCAAGCUUAACAGUAUAGGGUAGGCGUAGCGAAAGCGAGUCUUAAUAGGGCGUUUAGUCGCUGG